AGAGUUUGAUCAUGGCUCAGAAUGAACGCUGGCGGCGUGCUUAACACAUGCAAGUCGUACGAGAAAUCCUCUGCUUGCAGGGGAGAGUAAAGUGGCGCACGGGUGAGUAUCGCGUGGGUAAUCUACCCUUGAAUUCAGGAUAACACUUCGAAAGGGGUGCUAAUACUGGAUAACAUCCUGAUGGUUUUGGCCAUAAGGAUCAAAGAUAGCCUCUACAUGUAAGCUAUUGUUUAGGGAUGAGCCCGCGUACCAUUAGCUAGUUGGUGGGGUAAGAGCCUACCAAGGCAACGAUGGUUAGCUGGUCUGAGAGGAUGAUCAGCCACACUGGAACUGAAACACGGUCCAGACUCCUACGGGAGGCAGCAGUGAGGAAUUUUGCGCAAUGGGGGAAACCCUGACGCAGCAACGCCGCGUGAGUGAAGAAGGCUUUCGGGUCGUAAAGCUCUGUCAAGAGGGAAGAAAGUGGGAGAUGGUAAUACUGUUUUCUAUUGACGGUACCUCUGAAGGAAGCACCGGCUAACUCCGUGCCAGCAGCCGCGGUAAUACGGGGGGUGCAAGCGUUAUUCGGAUUUAUUGGGCGUAAAGAGCGCGUAGGCGGUUUAUCAAGUCAGAUGUGAAAGCCCUGGGCUCAACCUGGGAAGUGCAUUUGAAACUAGUAGACUUGAGUAUGGGAGAGGGGAGUGGAAUUCCUGGUGUAGAGGUGAAAUUCGUAGAUAUCAGGAGGAACACCGGUGGCGAAGGCGACUUCCUGGACCAAUACUGACGCUGAGGCGCGAAGGCGUGGGGAGCAAACAGGAUUAGAUACCCUAGUAGUCC
rnacentral:rRNA from 1 species